rnacentral:rRNA from 1 species
CCUACGGGAGGCAGCAGUGAGGAAUAUUGGUCAAUGGGCGUGAGGCUGAACCAGCCAAGUCGCGUGAAGGAUGACUGCCCUACGGGUUGUAAACUUCUUUUAUAAAGGAAUAAAGUUGGGCACGUGUGCCUUUUUGUAUGUACUUUAUGAAUAAGCAUCGGCUAACUCCGUGCCAGCAGCCGCGGUAAUACGGAGGAUGCGAGCGUUAUCCGGAUUUAUUGGGUUUAAAGGGAGCGUAGAUGGGUUGUUAAGUCAGUUGUGAAAGUUUGUGGCUCAACCGUAAAAUUGCAAUUGAUACUGGCAGUCUUGAGUACAGUUGAGGUAGGCGGAAUUCGUGGUGUAGCGGUGAAAUGUUUAGAUAUCACGAAGAACUCCGAUUGCGAAGGCAGCUUACUAAGC